UAGAAGAAAUAAAUAUUGAUUUAUUCUGCUCGGGCACUACGAACACAUGUUUAAAACCCAAAGAACUUGGCGGUACUUUAAUCCACUUAGGGGAACCUGUCCUUUAAUUCGAUAACCCACGACAAUCUUAUUUACUUUGGAUUAUCACAGCUUGUAUACCGUCGUCAUAAGUUAACCUUAAAAAGAAAAAAAGUUAACAAUAAAGAUAAAGAUUAAAGCUUUCUCAUAGGUCAGAUCAAGGUGCAGCUAAUAAGUAAAGAGGAGAUGGGUUACAAUUAAUAAUUUAUAAUGGAAUUCUUAAAGAAAAUACGAAGCAAAAUAGGACUUAAAAGUAAUUUAUGAUAACAAACACUAAUGAAUAAGGAAAUAAAGUGUGU
rnacentral:rRNA from 1 species